rnacentral:rRNA from 1 species
CCUACGGGAGGCAGCAGUGAGGAAUAUUGGACAAUGGGCGCAAGCCUGAUCCAACCAUGCCGCGUGAGUGAUGAAGGCCCUAGGGUUGUAAAGCUCUUUCAGUGGGGACGAUAAUGACGGUACCCACAGAAGAAGCCCCGGCUAACUUCGUGCCAGCAGCCGCGGUAAU